rnacentral:rRNA from 1 species
CCUACGGGUGGCUGCAGUGGGGAAUAUUGGACAAUGGGGGCAACCCUGAUCCAGCCAUGCCGCGUGUGUGAAGAAGGCCCUCGGGUUGUAAAGCACUUUCAGUGAGGAAGAACGCCUGGUGGUUAAUACCCAUCAGGAAAGACAUCACUCACAGAAGAAGCACCGGCUAACUCCGUGCCAGCAGCCGCGGUAAUAUGGAGGGUGCGAGCGUUAAUCGGAAUUACUGGGCGUAAAGCGCGCGUAGGUGGCUUGAUAAGCCGGUUGUGAAAGCCCCGGGCUCAACCUGGGAACGGCAUCCGGAACUGUCAAGCUAGAGUGCAGGAGAGGAAGGUAGAAUUCCCGGUGUAGCGGUGAAAUGCGUAGAGAUCGGGAGGAAUACCAGUGGCGAAGGCGGCCUUCUGGACUGACACUGACACUGAGGUGCGAAAGCGUGGGUAGCAAACAGGAUUAGAUACCCCAGUAGUC